UUUAGUAGAUAAAAAAAAGCAAUUAUCGAAAAAUCAACAAGUGAGCUUUGUUGGUGGAAUAGUUAUCGUCAGUCAUCACCAAAAAAUUACCACACAAUAACUGCGGAUACAUUUUUAAAGGGAUGUGCAAAGUAACUAAAACUGACUAAUUUGAGUUUGAUAGAUUUCGAUGGCCAUUGAUGUUGAUAGAGAUGCUGCUUAAUUUUUAAUUAUGAGAUGGUGAAAGGUGUGCUUAAAGCUGCUGCUGCUGUCCUUGGUGUCACAUUUCAAUGUGAUGUUUAACAUGUAUUAUUUUUGUCUGUCAUGUCUCGUUCAUGCAGUAUUAUACUCGUAAGCCCGUAAGCUAAUAGACCGUGCUAUGGCUAUACCUCGGUAUUCAUCGGUGAAUCUAGUAAACAAACCUUUUUUUGGGAGUGGGGGGGGGGGGGGGCUCAAACAAACGCCCCCGAACUAGUAGAAAUGAGAGCGAAUUAUAAUUCUGUAAGACUGUAAGCCUUUAGUAAGAAAAAGAAAUGCGUUUUUGCAUGUUUUUUGUAAACGGAUAAAUAGGCCUACAACUUCAUUUCUUCAAAAUAUAAUUACCAAUUUACCUAGUCGAUCUCGUUUGCUUGCAUUAAAAAAUUCAUUCCACGGGAUCACAAUAACAUUCCAUCCCAUGCACUGAAGUUGACGAACUUUCAUCCGCAGCGGACCCAUCGGCUGAUCACUGAACCUUGAAAACAUGUUCCUAGAUCCACCCACCAGAACACAGCGCUGAACUCCACAAUUGUCUUUCGAUAAGGAAUUUAUUUCGCGAAACCCUAACCUGGCGUAGUAAAAUGUGGCUGCAGAUAAACCAACGAAGCAGAACUGUUUUCUCCAAGAAAAUCCUUCACCGUAUUCAAUAGCGACACGAGAAAAGCAUCAUGAC